rnacentral:rRNA from 1 species
UACGUAGGGUGCGAGCGUUAAUCGGAAUUACUGGGCGUAAAGCGUGUGCAGGCGGUGAGCUGUGUCCGAUGUGAAAGCCCCGGGCUUAACCUGGGAAUGGCAUUGGAAACUGGCUCGCUGGAGUGUGGCAGAGGGGGGUGGAAUUCUGCGUGUAGCAGUGAAAUGCGUAGAGAUGCGGAGGAACACCGAUGGCGAAGGCAGCCCCCUGGGCUAACACUGACGCUCAGGCACGAAAGCGUGGGGAGCAAACAGGAUUAGAUACCCUGGUAGUCCACGCCCUAAACCAUGUCAACUGGGUGUUCGGGAAGCGAUUCCUGAGUACCGUAGCUAACGCGUGAAGUUGACCGCCUGGGGAGUACGGCCGCAAGGUUAAA